AUGUGGGAAGAAUGCUUGCCUCAUAUUGAGUUUGCUUAUAAUCGUUCAUUGCAUUCUACUACUAAGAUGUGCCCUUUUGAAAUUGUGUAUGGUUUCCUACCUCGUGCACCUAUUGAUUUGUUGCCUCUUCCAUCUUCGGAGAAGGUUAAUUUUGAUGCUAAACAACGUGCUGAAUUGAUCUUAAAAAUGCAUGAGUUAACUAAGGAAAACAUUGAGCGUAUGAAUGCUAAAUAUAAACUUGCUGGAGAUAAGGGUAGAAAACAUGUUGUGUUUGCACCUGGAGAUCUUGUUUGGUUACAUUUGCGUAAGGAUAGAUUUCCUGAUUUGCGCAAAUCAAAGCUAAUGCCACGUGCUGAUGGUCCCUUUAAGGUGUUAGAGAAAAUAAAUGAUAAUGCAUAUAAACUUGAGCUGCCUGCAGAUUUUGGGGUUAGUCCCACUUUUAACAUUGCAGAUUUGAAGCCUUAUUUGGGUGAGGAAGAUGAACUUCCGUCAAGGACGACUUCAUUUCAAGAAGGGGAGGAUGAUGAGGACAUCAAUACAAUUGUUACACCCACAGCCCCUGCUGCUAUACAUACUGGACCAAUUACUAGAGCUCGUGCACGCCAACUAAAUUACCAGGAAACAGACCCUCGUGGUCAGGUUGAUCGUGCUCCGGCGUGGUCAAUAACCUCUCGGAGUUGGUUUAGCGAUUGCUAA
rnacentral:rRNA from 1 species